rnacentral:lncRNA from 1 species
ACAGGGGUCUGAGGUUGAUCCCGGAGGCGCGAGGAGUCGGUGAACAAGCCGAGAUUCUUGUGGCGUGAUAGGACUUGUGGUCGCCACGAAGGGGCCAGCUCCAUCGGGAAUCUGUAAUCGCCCAGCAGUUUCCCCGCCCCGCGCAUGUGAAAUAUGUAGCCCUCCGUAUUCAUUCUAGAAACUUCUGGGAACCCAGCGCCUUGGGGAGAUAGAACCGAGCCAGAUGUUCCCCCGCUGCGAGGAACUCAGAACCUGCAUAAAUAGAGAAGGUGGCAGGCAUAUAGUAGGGAGACCAGUAAUUCCAUUGAGCGCUGAUUUUGGGCCAGGCACGAUACAAGCAUUAUCUCUGCAAAACAUCUUAUUCAUUCGUUCAGCAAACGUUUCUUGAACUCUCAGAAGGAUGAAGGAAGUUUACCCAGCUACCUAUCAGCCUCCUGUGUCUUAAGCAGAGUGGAGACGGGGGUGGAUCCAGGCGCACCAGUCAAAAGGAGCACAUCUUGA